UUAACGAGAGUUUGAUCCUGGCUCAGGACGAACGCUGGCGGCGUGCCUAAUACAUGCAAGUCGAACGAACGGAUAAAGAGCUUGCUCUUUGAA
rnacentral:rRNA from 1 species